GACGAACGCUGGCGGCGUGCUUAACACAUGCAAGUCGAACGGAAAGGCCCUGCUUUUGUGGUGUGCUCGAGUGGCGAACGGGUGAGUAACACGUGAGUAACCUGCCCUUGACUUUGGGAUAACUUCAGGAAACUGGGGCUAAUACCGGAUAGGAGCUCCUGCUGCAUGGUGGGGGUUGGAAAGUUUCGGCGGUUGGGGAUGGACUCGCGGCUUAUCAGCUUGUUGGUGGGGUAGUGGCUUACCAAGGCUUUGACGGGUAGCCGGCCUGAGAGGGUGACCGGCCACAUUGGGACUGAGAUACGGCCCAGACUCCUCCGGGAGGCAGCAGUGGGGAAUAUUGCACAAUGGGCGGAAGCCUGAUGCAGCAACGCCGCGUGCGGGAUGACGGCCUUCGGGUUGUAAACCGCUUUCGCCUGUGACGAAGCGUGAGUGACGGUAAUGGGUAAAGAAGCACCGGCUAACUACGUG
rnacentral:rRNA from 1 species